rnacentral:rRNA from 1 species
CUCCUACGGGAGGCAGCAGUGAGGAAUAUUGGUCAAUGGGCGGGAGCCUGAACCAGCCAAGCCGCGUGAAGGAAGAAGGCGCCAGGCGUCGUAAACUUCUUUUGUCGGGGAACAAAGGGCGCCACGUGUGGCGUUGUGAGUGUACCCGAAGAAAAAGCAUCGGCUAACUCCGUGCCAGCAGCCGCGGUAAUACGUAGGUGGCAAGCGUUAUCCGGAUUUACUGGGUGUAAAGGGCGUGUAGGCGGGAC